rnacentral:miRNA from 1 species
UCCACAGUGGUGGAGUUGUU